rnacentral:rRNA from 1 species
CUUGGACCGCAUGGUCCGAGUUUGAAAGAUGGCUUCGGCUAUCACUUCUGGAUGGUCCCGCGGCGUAUUAGCUAGAUGGUGAGGUAACGGCUCACCAUGGCAAUGAUACGUAGCCGACCUGAGAGGGUAAUCGGCCACAUUGGGACUGAGACACGGCCCAAACUCCUACGGGAGGCAGCAGUAGGGAAUCUUCCACAAUGGACGAAAGUCUGAUGGAGCAACGCCGCGUGAGUGAAGAAGGGUUUCGGCUCGUAAAACUCUGUUGUUAAAGAAGAACAUAUCUGAGAGUAACUGUUCAGGUAUUGACGGUAUUUAACCAGAAAGCCACGGCUAACUACGUGCCAGCAGCCGCGGUAAUACGUAGGUGGCAAGCGUUGUCCGGAUUUAUUGGGCGUAAAGCGAGCGCAGGCGGUUUUUUAAGUCUGAUGUGAAAGCCUUCGGCUCAACCGAAGAAGUGCAUCGGAAACUGGGAAACUUGAGUGCAGAAGAGGACAGUGGAACUCCAUGUGUAGCGGUGAAAUGCGUAGAUAUAUGGAAGAACACCAGUGGCGAAGGCGGCUGUCUGGUCUGUAAC